rnacentral:misc_RNA from 1 species
GAUGAAGAACGUAGCGAAAUGCGAUAAGUAAUGUGAAUUGCAGAAUUCAGUGAAUCAUCGAAUCUUUGAACGCACAUUGCGCCCGCCAGUAUUCUGGCGGGCAUGCCUGUUCGAGCGUCAUUUCCACCAUCAGGCCCCCGGGCCUGUGUUGGGGACCUGCGGCUGCCCGCAGGCCCCGAAAUUCAGUGGCGGUCGCGCCGUAGCAACCGAGCGUAGUAACUAAAACGUCUCGCUCUGGCUCGCUGGGCGCGCUCCGGCCGUAAAACACCCCCCUUUUCGCAAAGGUUGACCUCGGAUCAGGUAGGAAUACCCGCUGAACUUAAGCAUAUCAAUAAGCGGAGGA